UAGGGAAUCUUCCACAAUGGACGCAAGUCUGAUGGAGCAACGCCGCGUGAGUGAAGAAGGUUUUCGGAUCAUAAAGCUCUGUUGUUGGUGAAGAAGGAUAGAGGCAGUAACUGGUCUUUAUUUGACGGUAAUCAACCAGAAAGUCACGGCUAACUACGUGCCAGCAGCCGCGGUAAUACGUAGGUGGCAAGCGUUGUCCGGAUUUAUUGGGCGUAAAGCGAGCGUAGGCGGAAUGAUAAGUCUGAUGUGAAAGCCCACGGCUCAACCGUGGAACUGCAUCGGAAACUGUCAUUCUUGAGUGCAGAAGAGGAGAGUGGAAUUCCAUGUGUAGCGGUGGAAUGCGUAGAUAUAUGGAAGAACACCAGUGGCGAAGGCGGCUCUCUGGUCUGCAACUGACGCUGAGGCUCGAAAGCAUGGGUAGCGAACAGG
rnacentral:rRNA from 1 species